GUGAAUCAUCGAAUCUUUGAACGCAAAUUGCACUCUCCUCGGAGAGUAUGCCUGUUUGAGGGUCAGCCUAUAAAAUUCGCCAUCGUUGCUGUUUCGCGGUGGCGUUUGGUGGAUAUUGGGGCAUCUUAAAUGCUUUUGAUUUAAGCGACGUAAAAUUUUGUUUUGGUUCCAUGAACGUAUGUAGGAUCUAUUUCUUUACACGUUUAAGGUAUCGAUGUUUAUUAGAUGUGACUAUCAUAUCGGAUCGCGUUAGU
rnacentral:misc_RNA from 1 species